GCACGGGUGAGUAACACAUGAAUUAUCUACCUCCGAGUGGGGAAUAACUGAGAGAAAUCUUAGCUAAUACCGCAUAACACUUACGAGUCAAAGCAGCAAUGCGCUUGGAGAGGAGUUCGCGGCCGAUUAGUUAGUUGGCGGGGUAAUGGCCCACCAAGACGAUGAUCGGUAUCCGGCCAGAGAGGGCGCACGGACACACUGGAACUGAAACACGGUCCAGACUCCUACGGGAGGCAGCAGUGGGGAAUUUUGCGCAAUGGGGGAAACCCUGACGCAGCAACGCCGCGUGGAGGAUGAAGCCCCUUGGGGUGUAAACUCCUUUCGAUCGGGAAGAUAAUGACGGUACCGAUAUAAGAAGCCCCGGCUAACUUCGUGCCAGCAGCCGCGGUAAUACGAGGGGGGCAAGCGUUGUUCGGAAUUAUUGGGCGUAAAGGGUGCGUAGGCGGUUUGACAAGUCUAAUGUGAAAUCUAUGGGCUCAACCCAUAGUCUGCAUUGGAAACUGUCGGGCUUGAGUAUGGGAGAGGUGAGUGGAAUUUCCGGUGUAGCGGUGAAAUGCGUUAGAUUCGGGAAGGGAACACCUGUG
rnacentral:rRNA from 1 species